GUGGGGAAUCUUGCGCAAUGGGCGAAAGCCUGACGCAGCCAUGCCGCGUGAAUGAUGAAGGUCUUAGGAUUGUAAAAUUCUUUCACCGGGGACGAUAAUGACGGUACCCGGAGAAGAAGCUCCGGCUAACUUCGUGCCAGCAGCCGCGGUACUACGAAGGGGGCUAGCGUUGCUCGGAAUUACUGGGCGUAAUGGGCGCGUAGGCGGACAGCUUAGUCAGAGGUGAAAGCCCAGGGCUCAACCUUGGAAUUGCCUUUGAUACUGGCUGUCUUGAGUUUGGGAUAGGUGAGUGGAACUCCGAGUGUAGAGGUGAAAUUCGUAGAUAUUCGGAAGAACGCCAGUGGCGAAGGCGACUCACUGGCCCAAUACUGACGCUGAGGCGCGAAAGCGUGGGGAGCAAACAGGAUUAGAAACCCGGGUAGUCC
rnacentral:rRNA from 1 species